GCCAGCAGCUCGCUCUCUUCAACUCUCACAUGGUCGCCCACUGAUGCUAAGCAGGGCUGCGCCCGGUCUGUACCUGGAUGGGAGACCACAUGUGAACACUAGGUUGCUGUUGGAA
ensembl:rRNA 5S_rRNA 5S ribosomal RNA